CCUACGGGUGGCUGCAGUCGAGAAUCUUCCGCAAUGGGCGAAAGCCUGACGGAGCGACGCCGCGUGAUCGAUGAAGUCUUUCGGGAUGUAAAGAUCUUUUAUGAACGAGAAAGUUAUUGAUCAGUUCAUGAAUAAGAGGUUGCUAAACUCGUGCCAGCAGCAGCGGUAAUACGAGUGCCUCGAGCGUUAUCCGGAAUCAUUGGGCGUAAAGCGUGUGUAGGCGGUCAUGUUAGUCUCCUGUAAAAUUCUUCGGCUUAACCGGGGGCGCGCGGGGGAAACGGCAUGACUAGAGGAUGCGAGAGGUCUGUGGAACUCUAAGUGUAGGGGUGAAAUCCGUUGAUAUUUAGGGGAACACCGAAUGCGAAGGCAGCAGACUGGCGCAUUCCUGACGCUGAGACACUAAAGCGUGGGUAGCGAAUGGGAUUAGAUACCCUGGUAGUC
rnacentral:rRNA from 1 species